UGCAGGAGAAAUGAGAGAUGAUGUCUUUUCUGGAAACAGAAAGGGGGAAUACUCAGCCUCUGCUGGUGGUCGUAAUAGUUCCUUUCUUGAGAAUGGUUCUCAAAGACAUUUUGUUCGUCGUGGAGCUGCCCAUACAGUGAAGGAUGAUGCUGCAGUCAGCUUAAGUGAAGCAAAACCUUCUAAGAAAGUUGUAAGUGGGCAUGGGGCUCAUGAGAAGCAAGUGUGGAUUCAGAAAUCUUCUUCAGGGUCAUAAAAUAUCUAAAGGUGGUUUGCGUGACUGACAGAUUACGGACCACUACAACAGCAAUAAUUCCUCGAAGUUUUGGGGCGGAUCAUUCCUGCUAUGAGCUAUGGUCUCCGUUAGGGUCCUGCUACGAGCUAUGGUCUCCAUUAGGGAUCGUCCUUAAUGAAUUCAGGUCAACCCCAGGCUGGGCUAUUUCAAAAGAAAGAUGAUCCAGUUGUUGCCUGAUGGAGCCUGCUCAUUGAAAGGAAUGCCAAAUCUAUAUACCUACCUCAACGACACGAUAUUCUGCUGGAAAGAGAGUGGUGUAUCAAUCAUGUCUGUUAGAUGUUUGUACCAUUCGUCUCUUCUAAGUUUUAUUGUGUAUUUCUGUGGUGCAAAAUAUUAUUUGUGCCUGGGAUGUACUGUACAAGUACGUGGAACUUGCCAUGGAUUAGUGUAUUGGGAAGAGUCACAGCAUUUUUCUCCCUUCCAAUAGACGAGUAGGGGUUGAACAAUGAUGUGCAUUAUGGCGUGUUGAUGCUUAUGAUAGGGGAAGCACUUUGGUGUGCCUGUAAUUUCGAAGAUCAGAAAUGAAAUAUCGAUUGGUAGUGUAUCUUAUGGUUGAUUUGCAA